AUUGAACGCUGGCGGCAGGCUUAACACAUGCAAGUCGAGCGAGCGGCGGACGGGUGAGUAAUGUCUGGGAACCUGCCUGAUGGAGGGGGAUAACUACUGGAAACGGUAGCUAAUACCGCAUACCAUCAGAUGGGCCCAUAUGGGAUUAGCUAGUAGGUGGGGUAAUGGCUCACCUAGGCGACGAUCCCUAGCUGGUCUGAGAGGACGACCAGCCACACUGGAACUGAGACACGGUCCAGACUCCUACGGGAGGCAGCAGUGGGGAAUAUUGGACAAUGGGCGCAAGCCUGAUGCAGCCAUGCCGCGUGUGUGAAGAAGGCCUUCGGGUUGUAAAGCACUUUCAGCGGGGAGGCGGUACUCGCAGAAGAAGCACCGGCUAACUACGUGCCAGCAGCCGCGGUAAUAC
rnacentral:rRNA from 1 species